GACGAACGCUGGCGGCGUGCUUAACACAUGCAAGUCGAACGGAAAGGCCCUGCUUUUGUGGGGUGCUCGAGUGGCGAACGGGUGAGUAACACGUGAGUAACCUGCCCUUGACUUUGGGAUAACUUCAGGAAACUGGGGCUAAUACCGGAUAGGAGCUCCUGCUGCAUGGUGGGGGUUGGAAAGUUUCGGCGGUUGGGGAUGGACUCGCGGCUUAUCAGCUUGUUGGUGGGGUAGUGGCUUACCAAGGCUUUGACGGGUAGCCGGCCUGAGAGGGUGACCGGCCACAUUGGGACUGAGAUACGGCCCAGACUCCUACGGGAGGCAGCAGGGGGGAAUAUUGCACAAUGGGCGGAAGCCUGAUGCAGCAACGCCGCGUGCGGGAUGACGGCCUUCGGGUUGUAAACCGCUUUCGCCUGUGACGAAGCGUGAGUGACGGUAAUGGGGAAAGAAGCACCGGCGAACUACGU
rnacentral:rRNA from 1 species